CAAUUCACACUUCACUCUUCCGCGAAUUUUCUCCCUGCCAUUGCCGUCGCCGCCGGUCCCUGCUCGAGCUCCGUCGCCGCCAGUGGUUUAUGAAUCUUAAUUAAAUUAGGGCUUUACGAUUUUCAUUCAAUUCACACUUCAUUCUUUCGCGAAUUUUCUCCCUGCCGUCGCCGUCGCCGCCGGUACCUGCUCCAGCUCCGUUGCCGCCGGUACCCGCUCCAGCUCCGUGCUCGUCGCUCCAACUCAGCUGCCGUCGCCGGCUCGCGUUUCACAACGACCGUCGACCCCAUCAGCAUUUGCUUUCUCGGAACUAUCAUCCAGAUGUGAACAAUUAUAACACGUCCAGCUCGACUUCCAUACUUUAUUGAGGGUGUUGUACUAGCUGUGCUGUCUGUAUAAAGUCUGGGAAACUCAAACAGCCAGAAGCUUUAGGGAUAUCUGCUGAAUUAAAAUCCAAGGUUCUAGGUUUCAGGUGGGCUUUGCGCAUACUACGGGGAUUAAUAGUGCAUAUAAGUUUGCUCAAAGAUUUGCAAAGGAAAGAGACGAGGUUCAUGGUACUAGGAAGGAACAAGAUGUGUAGAUGAUAAAUCUAACACUAAAUUGUUAUUUUGUUAUUAACCAAGUUUUAGAAUUUGUACUAAUGCUCAAUAUUAUUGAACUUUGGUGUUAUGAGUAA